rnacentral:misc_RNA from 1 species
UAAUAUGGACUGUUUGGGAUAUGCUUUUUGAUGUGAGCUUUCAGAAACGUUUUGGCUGCUGUGAAAAACGACGAUCAUCAUUAGGUGCUCCCCAGAUUCACAAUUCAACAAUCAGCUUCCGAAAUUCGGAAAUUUAAAGAGGUAAACGAAAUCCAUCGUUGCAAGCAGAGUGGUACCGCGUCAAAAGGCGUCUCUGAU